UAUGUGAUCGUCUCUCGCAUAUCAAUAAGCGGAGGAAAAGAAACUAACAAGGAUUCCCCUAGUAACGGCGAGUGAAGCGGGAAGAGCUCAAAUUUGAAAUCUUAAAGGGUUUCCCUUUACGAAUUGUAGUUUAAAGAAGGUGUUUUCUGUUGAGGUUUUGGUAAAAGUUCUUUGGAAUAGGACAUCAUAGAGGGUGAGAAUCCCGUAUUUGACCUUUACUUUCAACUUUGUGAUACACUUUCAAAGAGUCGGAUUGUUUGGGAAUGCAGUCCAAAAUGGGUGGUAAAUUUCAUCUAAAGCUAAAUAUUGGCGAGAGACCGAUAGCGAACAAGUACCGUGAGGGAAAGAUGAAAAGAACUUUGAAAAGAGAGUUAAACAGUACGUGAAAUUGUCAAAAGGGAAGCGUUUGACACCAGUGUUAUUUUUCUGAAAAUCAAUUAAAGAACUGUUUAUGCUAAGCUGUUUAGACUUUAUCAGCUAUCUGUUUAGUUUUGAGCUUUUCUUUAAUGCACUUUUCAGUUAACAAGUCAACAUCAAUUUCUUUUGCUGUAAAAAGGCUUGAGGAAGGUGGCUUGAGAUUCGUCUUAAGUGUUUAUAGCCUCUUGCCUAUGCAGUCGGAGAGAUUGAGGUCUGCAGCGUAGAUCCUUCGGGGCUAAAUGCAUUUGUGCUAAGUUAUAGCAUUUUAUAGACAACUUGUUGACUAUGAUUUGUCUUGUAGCUUACUCGCUUAUGUUAUUUUACCUACGCUUAGGAUGUUGAUAUCGCGCUCUCACUG
rnacentral:rRNA from 1 species